rnacentral:ncRNA from 1 species
CAACUGAAGAGUUUGAUCCUGGCUCAGAUUGAACGCUAACGGCAUGCUUAACACAUGCAAGUCGAACGGCAGCACAGUGGUAGCAAUACCAUGGGUGGCGAGUGGCGGACGGGUGAGUAAUACAUAGGAAUCU